GUCUACGCACGACACAGAAACAAACUGGAAACAAGUUCCACACAAAUCGCACCAAAGCUGUCGAUUUUGCCACGGAGUUUUGCGCCUAUAUAUACCCCAAUAUUUUCUCUGCAUAUUGACCCUAAAAUUCCCAAUUUUUGCGCCGCCAAGCUGCGCAAAUUUCUCGCCGGAGUUUCGAUCUGCCGCCGCCAUUGGAGAGCGCUAGGCUGCCCGGGAUUGUUCGCCGGAGUUUAUCGCCGCCAAAACACCUCCAUCCGGCCGUCACCAUUGUUUUGCAAGGAGAAACACCUCGCAGUGACCGUCUACAAGCUCGGUUUCGUCUUCCGCAACUCGUCGUCAAGUUCACGCAGUCGAAGAACCGCCGAAACGCCGACGACCGCCACCAUCUGCAUCCCCGUCGUCAACUGUUCCUGAUUGCCCGGAUUGCAACGAGUGCGAUUGCGACGACUGUCUGAACACCGACCAAGGCAAGUGUCACAAACUCAUUAUCCUACUGUUUUCUAUGCAUUGGUAGUUGUUUUAUGUGCAUAAUGAUUUCAAAUUGCUAGCCCUGGGUUAUUAUCAAAGUGGAGAGAUUGCGAGAGAUAAAUGUUUUAUUUUUCUUAAUGAAAACAACAAUGUCAAAUUAAUACACCCCUGGGUGGAAGUGAUAAUGCUUGGUUUAUGUUGAGUGGUUGCACCGGGGUCAUUUCUAUGGUAGCACCGUGUGCAUCACACUUGAGAUUGGCCACCCAGAAACAAAGAGAUUAGCCCAGUUUUUCUGUUUUAGUAGCUUCCAGUACAACCACAUGCUAUAUGGGCUCUGGCUAGAUUGAGUAGGUUGCUAGAACUCGACCCAAUGUACAGAGGGUGGUAGGUGUUGGUAGGACGGAGCGCGUCCACUGUGGUUGAGGUAUUGCUUCUGAAAGGUCUUGUCCUAGUCGACAUCUGUCCAUUUGAGCAAAAUGCGCAUCAUGGAAGAAGAACAGACUAGAUCAUGUGGGGAAUGUGUACAGCCUCUCGAG